AGUGGCGAACGGGUGAGUAACACGUAUCUAACCUACCAUUUAGUGGGGAAUAACUGUUGGAAACGACAGCUAAUACCSCAUAUGUUAUUUAUUUGCAAUAAUAAAUAAUAAAAGGAGCAUUUGCUUCGCUAAUUGAUGGGGAUGCGGCGCAUUAACUAGUUGGUAAGGUAACGGCUUACCAAGGUAACGAUGCGUAGCCGAUCUGAGAGGAUGAACGGCCACAUUGGGACUGAGACACGGCCCAAACUUCUACGGAAGGCAGCAGUAGGGAAUUUUUCACAAUGGGCGAAAGCCUGAUGGAGCAAUGCCGCGUGACUGAUGAAGGUCUUCGGAUUGUAAAGGUCUGUUGUAAGGGAAGA
rnacentral:rRNA from 1 species